rnacentral:tRNA from 1 species
CAAUAUGAAGCUUAAAUUCGGUGGAGCAAAGCUUUGAUAAGGCUCGGGUUAUAGGUUCGAUUCCUAUUAUAUUGA